GAUGAACGCUGGCGGCGUGCCUAAUACAUGCAAGUCGAGCGAACAGAUAAGGAGCUUGCUCCUUUGACGUUAGCGGCGGACGGGUGAGUAACACGUGGGUAACCUACCUAUAAGACUGGAAUAACUCCGGGAAACCGGGGCUAAUGCCGGAUAACAUUUAGAACCGCAUGGUUCUAAAGUGAAAGAUGGUUUUGCUAUCACUUAUAGAUGGACCCGCGCCGUAUUAGCUAGUUGGUAAGGUAACGGCUUACCAAGGCAACGAUACGUAGCCGACCUGAGAGGGUGAUCGGCCACACUGGAACUGAGACACGGUCCAGACUCCUACGGGAGGCAGCAGUAGGGAAUCUUCCGCAAUGGGCGAAAGCCUGACGGAGCAACGCCGCGUGAGUGAUGAAGGUCUUCGGAUCGUAAGACUCUGUUAUUAGGGAAGAACAAAUGUGUAAGUAACUGUGCACGUCUUGACGGUACCUAAUCAGAAAGCCACGGCUAACUACGUG
rnacentral:rRNA from 1 species